GAAAAUAAAAAAUUAAAAUGAAUUAAAAAUGACUUCUAAACACGUAAAAAGACGAAAAUACUGAGAGUUAUCACAAACUCAAAAAAAAAAAAAGAUGGGGNGAUUAAAGGUUACAUUUUGGGUGUGCCCAUCAUUGUUAUUCUGGUUUUUCGACGACCCAUUAGCUCCUGAAAAUAUGGGAGACGAAUGAGAAACAAAAAAGAAGAGACUGAAGGUAAGAGAGAAAGAGAAAGACCAUUUGGGUCUUGCGAGAAAGACAUGAUUUGACGGAGUUUGGAAAGUAAAGCAUCCAACUGAGAAGGAUUGGGUGGCGGAGGGAGGCCGUUGUAGCCACCAUGAGCAGCCCUGUAGUUCUUCUCUCUCCUUCUCUUUCCUUUCCCUCCCAUUUCUCUCUAUGCUGUAAAACCCUAAUCAAAGAAGGAAAAUCAACUAGAACAAAAAUCAAGAAUAACCCAAAGAGAGAAGAAAUAUUCAUUAGUCCAUUUAAUGACUUUUUGUGGGUCAGUGGACAUUGUAUUUCAAUUUGAU
rnacentral:lncRNA from 1 species